UUCUUAUUGAAAUAAUUAUAAGUAAUGCCUGCUCAAUGAAUUUUCAAUAGCCGCGGAAAUUUAACCGUGCUAAGGUAGCAUAAUCAUUAGCCCCUUAAUUAGGGGCUUGUAUGAAUGGCAAAACAUUUUGACACCUUUUUUUGUUAAUUAUAUUUAAGCUAAAUUAGGAAUAAAAAUGUUCCUAUAUACUUAUUAGACGACAAGACCCUAUUGAACUUUACUUUAGUUUAGCUGGGGCAGCUAAGAAAAUUUUAUCUUUCUAAAUUUAUUUAUAUAAAUGACCCAAUAUAAUUGAGUUUUUGAUUAAGUUACCAUAGGGAUAACAGCGUAAUAUCUUUUUAAAGCUCUUAUUAAAAAAGAAGAUUGCGACCUCGAUGUUGAAUUAAUGUUACUUUCAGGCGCAGAAGUUUGAUAAGUAAGUCUGUUCGACUUUUAAAACAUUACAU
rnacentral:rRNA from 1 species